CACGCUUUUGAUUUUAUGGCAUUUUCAUGUGGGUACACCACUGCCUACCCCCAAAUUCUACCAUCCAUGUAGUUAGUGUGCGCCAAUCCUUUCAAUUCUAUACGUAAUAUAAAUCAUCUCGGCCGCUGGGAACCAAUGUGACCUAUAUACGCACACAGGUGGGAGUUAGGUAUAGACUGCACUUGCGCACGCAAGGUCUGCCAUCAAUCAAUAUAGCGCAUAUCAGUCCCCGGGCGAAGCUACUCGAAUCUCGCUCACCGCCGCACCCGGCACUAAGAGCCGAGGAGCGGACCCUGUCGGACGGGAGCCCACUUCUGCAGUUCAAAGUAAUCAAGUAUACCUACGUACUCAUUCGUACUCAUCAUGUCGGUCCUGAUUGCCGGAAUGCGUCGUAAGGUCGGGACUAUAACACCCACCAAGGACCUCGAGAUGUCGCAGCGGCCGGUCGACACCACCCUGUGGUGCGUCUGCGAGGUGUGCGGCCUCCGCAUCCACCCGCUGCUGCGCACCACCAACACCACCCCCACCGAUGUCAAGAAGCCAUCGAACUAAAUGCUACGCGUUUAGACAAAUGUUCGUUAUAAUUUUCGCUUCACUCUUCAACCCUUAGAUCGUCCCAAGAAAUGAAUGAAUUAUUAUAUCAACCUUCCUUAGAUGUCCUACUCUUUCAAUUAAACCCUCUUUAGUUCAAAAA